CUUUCUCUCUUUCGUUCCCACCCAUCCGCAUCUCCAGCCCUCCUCUCUCUUUUUCUUUCUGUCCCCCUCUCAUACACACAAGCAGACCCCCUAUCUCUUUCUCUCUCUGAAGCAGCGAGCGGGGUGGGCUCGCGGUGGAAAGCCGAUGCAGCGCGUGACCGAUGGCGGUCAGAUGCGACGAACAGCGAUGGCAGUCCAUCAUGCACCUGUUCAUCAGCCCCCUCCACCGGAAUCGCUCGCUGGCGUUCUCCUUCACCCACAUGCUCCACAGUCGCUACAAGUCCAAGGACGAUCUCGACGCCUAUUCGGGUCACCCGGCACACAUCAGCGUCGUCAUGGAUCAAGUAUGCCUGAUCUCUUCUUUUACUAGAGCUGAGUUCGAGUUGAGUUCAUGUUUACUGGAGCCGAGCCCGAGAGUGUUUGGAUCCCGCUGGCAAGAACAGAGCAAAAGUAGUGCGCGCACAAACGCACACAAGUACAACGAGGAACUCGAGACAGUAAAGGAAGAGAAAAGAUCCAAAUGCAAAUUUUCGCAUAAAAUUGCUGCAAAUGAUUUCAUUUAACCGGGUAGAGCAUAUUAUUAGAGAAGAGAAAAUGAUGGCUGCACAGGAGAUCGUUAAGCUAUUUUGUGAACUUAUUUCUGUCCGUCUACCCAUAAUUGAAGCACAAAGGCUGUCUUCUCCGACUUUUCCAAGCUAAAGACCAGAUCGAUUUAUGUAUGUGUGUAUAUUUGAACGACAAGCAGAGCCAGAUCCGAUUACCAGCAACGGUGGCGGCUCUAGCAGCGACAAUGGCGGUGGCAGCUCCCUCCUCCAGCAUCCAACGACUGCCUCUUCAUCUGGUGAGAGGGACACGGGAGGGACAACAACGGGUGGGGGGGGAGGCAUUGCGAGCAACUGAACCAUCUCCGGCUACCAGCAAUGGCGGCGACGACAACUCGCUCCUCCAGCAUCCAGCUACUGCCUCUUCAAUCUGGGUUUGUAAUUUUUAUUUAUGUAUUUUAUAUAAAUUUUGUAUAUAUUGAAGUAUUGGGCUUUAAUUAUAUUUUAAUUAAUUUGUGUAUUUGAUUAUGUAUUUGUUUGUAUGCGAAUAUUUGAUUAAUUUGUGACAUUUGAAAAAAAAAACUCAGAUGUUGGGACUCGGGUAUGAUUUUGCA